UACGUAGGAUGCAAGCGUUGUUCGGAAUUACUGGGCGUAAAGAGUACGUAGGCGGUUUGAUAAGUCUGAUAUUAAAUACAGAAGCUUAACUUCUGAACUGUAUCGGAAACUGUCAGACUAGAGGACAAUAGAGGAAGUGGGAAUUCUCAGUGUAGCGGUGAAAUGCGCAGAUAUCAGGAGGAACACCGAUGGCGAAGGCAGGUCUCUGGGCAUUAACUGACGCUGAGGAGCGAAAGCAUGGGGAGCGAACAGG
rnacentral:rRNA from 1 species